AAAAGCCCCCCUCCCACACACUGUAAAACUAUGAUAAACAUCUCUGUUCUCUUUCAUCAAAUAUCUAUCUGCAAACAUUACAAACAAACAGUCCCCAAUUUGUUCUUUAGUUUUAUGAUCUUUUGUAAAAACAAAAAUUAAGGAUGUUUGAAUUGUUUGUGCUAGGAUGUACUGGUGUUGUCAUGUUCCUUCAUGGAGCUAAUUUCUUCUUCCAUGCUCUCUCUCAACAUAUGGCCAUUCGUUCCCUCAGCUUCUUAGGAUUUGUUGGUUGGUGAAGAUGAUGAAGGUUGCACCAACAGCAAUGUUAUUUUGUAAAUAUAUUUCAUUUCUUUCAGUUUCUUUUACCUUAUUUUUUAUAAGACAAAUGUUACUUAUAGACUAGUAGAAAAUGGAAAGAGAAUAUCUAUGAUGAAAGGGCUUUUAAGUGGUACAACCUAUCUUAUUAUUUUAGUCUCUUAUUCUAAUAUAAUUUUAUGUUGAUCACUUAUUUUUUCGGAAUCAAAAUCAGUUUAUCUAAUUCAUAAUAAUAACGAUAUGUUUUGCGUA